rnacentral:lncRNA from 1 species
GACUUUGAUCUCCACCAGUUCUUCUGAUCAACCAUGGCUGCUGCUCUAAGUGCUGCAGUCUCUUUACCUUCCUCCAAGUCAUCCUCUCUCCCCACCAAAACAUCCUCUGUAUCCCCUCAAAGGAUUUUCCUCAAGAAGGUAUCGUUUCGUUUCGUUUCAUUUCAUUUAAUUAUAUUUGAAUCACAAACAAAAAGCUGGAUCUUGACAUGCAUAAUUGCUAUACAUACAGAGCACACUGUGUUACAGGAGGAGAGUUGUGUCAGUGAAGGCUCAGGUGACAACAGAUACUACCGAGGCACCACCAGUUAAAGUAGCCAAGGAGUCAAAGAAACAGGAAGAAGGAAUUGUUGUCAACAAAUUCAAACCUAAGAACCCUUACACUGGUCGCUGCCUCUUGAACACCAAGAUCACCGGCGAUGACGCUCCCGGUGAGACCUGGCACAUUGUCUUCACCACCCAAGGUACGUAAAUCCCUUUAUUUAAGGCAUUGCAUUUUGUAUUCUGAGGAAUUUUCCGAGUGAUUAGGUUCGUUGAUGAAUUAGGUGAGAUUCCGUAUAGAGAAGGGCAAUCGAUAGGAGUGAUUCCAGAGGGAAUUGACAAGAACGGGAAGCCGCACAAGCUCAGGCUUUACUCUAUCGCCAGUAGUGCCAUUGGUGACUUUGGAGACUCCAAGACCGUAAGCAAAUAAUCCCUCUAACAAAGUAUAUAUAUAUAUAUAUAUAUAUAUAUAUAUAUAUAUAUAAUGAUUACAAAAUGAUCUUCUCUUUAUCUGGCAAAUGGAUUCUUCUUUUGCAGGUUUCUCUCUGUGUCAAGAGACUAGUUUACACAAAUGAUAGCGGAGAGAUUGUUAAGGGGGUCUGCUCCAACUUCUUGUGUAAGAAAGAAGACUAGUGUUGGAUCGAUUACGGUUUGAACUGUUCUUAGUGUUUGUUAUGUUCCGGUGUUUUCAGGUGACUUGAGGCCGGGUGAUGAAGCUAAGAUCACUGGACCUGUUGGGAAGGAAAUGCUUAUGCCAAAAGACCCUAAUGCCACCAUCAUCAUGGUAUGUCCUCACUUAGAGAGCAUAAUUUAAUCAACACUUGUACUGAUUACUUCUUGUUUUCUGUUUCCUUAGCUUGGAACAGGAACUGGAAUAGCUCCAUUCAGAUCAUUUUUGUGGAAAAUGUUCUUCGAGGAACACGAGGACUACAAGGUGAAACCAAAAGAAAACUCUCUGAGACACAUUUGUCGCCAAUUAUAACACACUCACUAAUUGAAUUUGCCAAUUAUAUGUGCAGUUCAAUGGUUUGGCCUGGCUCUUCUUAGGUGUACCCACAAGCAGCUCACUGCUAUACAAGGAGGUACAUAAGCUAAAUCCUAGUCAACUUUACCAAUGUUGUCUUGUGCAAAAGCUGUUGUUGACUUGUGUGGAUAAUGACAGGAGUUUGAGAAGAUGAAGGAGAAGAACCCAGACAACUUCAGGCUGGACUUUGCGGUGAGCAGAGAGCAGACGAACGAGAAGGGAGAGAAAAUGUACAUUCAGACAAGAAUGGCAGAGUAUGCAGAAGAGCUGUGGGAGUUGCUGAAGAAAGACAACACCUUUGUUUACAUGUGUGGUCUUAAGGGUAUGGAGAAGGGUAUCGAUGACAUUAUGGUCUCACUUGCUGCUAAAGAUGGUGAGGACAUUGAUUUCAUUUCAUUUGUUUUUGAGAAGUGUGUGCCACAUGUUUUAUUAAACUGUUUGGUUUGGGUGGGAACAGGGAUCGAUUGGUUGGAGUACAAGAAGCAAUUGAAGAGGAGUGAGCAGUGGAAUGUUGAAGUCUACUGAUGAAGGCUUGUGAGGGAGUUAUUAUAUAAUGUAGAUAAAAAGCUGAUGCAUUGUGAAAUCUUCAUUUAUGCUUCUUUCUUCUUUCUCAAGGAUUUUCCAUCAAAACAUUCAAAAGAGAGCAUCAAUAC